GGACUGGUGAGUAACGCGUGAAGAACCUGCCUUUCAGUGGGGGACAACAGUUGGAAACGACUGCUAAUACCGCAUAAUGUAUAGUGACCGCAUGGUCAGUAUACCAAAGAUUUAUUGCUGAAAGAUGGCUUCGCGUCUGAUUAGCUAGUUGGCGGGGUAAAGGCCCACCAAGGCGACGAUCAGUAGCCGGACUGAGAGGUUGACCGGCCACAUUGGGACUGAGAUACGGCCCAGACUCCUACGGGAGGCAGCAGUGGGGAAUAUUGGGCAAUGGACGAAAGUCUGACCCAGCAACGCCGCGUGAAGGAAGAAGGCUUUCGGGUUGUAAACUUCUUUUAAGAGGGAAGAGUAGAAGACGGUACCUCUUGAAUAAGCCACGGCUAACUACGUGCCAGCAGCCGCGGUAAUACGUAGGUGGCAAGCGUUGUCCGGAUUUACUGGGUGUAAAG
rnacentral:rRNA from 1 species